AACCUAUCGAAUGACCCUUCUUAUCGGACGACUUUAUGGAAAGAAGCAAGAAAAGGAAAGAAUAAUGAAUACUUUGAUCAAGUUACCCGAGAAUGUGCCAAUCGAAUUGAUAAGUUGGCUGAAGUUCAUGAAGGUGGAGAUGUUCUCACCGAAGCAUUGGGUACGGAAGAACAUUGGGGAUGUGUUAAAGGAAUGGGUGAUUUUGUUUCCCAUUCUUAAUAUUUCAAAUUAGUAAAACCAAAGUCCUCUAUGAGCCAAGAAAUUGAAGGAGGCUCUAGUAAAAAAAAAUGUUCGACAUGGUAAAGUGUCAAGAGAAAGAACUCACAGCAGACAAUCUCAUCAAUCCAAAUCAUAUGUUGGAAGUGUUGCACUAAGUGCAUCUGAAGAAGAAGAUCCUGAGAAGAUGUCUAAAGAAGAUUUGGAGGUAAUUUAUUUGUUGUGGCUUUUAAAUUUUAAUCAUAUUAUACGUACUUAACCAUGCAUGACAUAAGUUCUUUUAAAUUUGUUAAAGGGACACCAUGCCACUUGGCUAUAGGAACUAUAGAUAAUAUUGUUCCAGUAGCCACAACAUUUGAUGAUGAUGUGUCAUGCUUAACUAUUAAAGUUCUGAUUGACAUUGUCAUCAGAGAAGAUUUGCCUAUACCAAUUCCUGUGAAGGGUAAAAUAGAGUUCUUAAAGCAAGCAAUGGGCAACUUCAUAAAAUGGCCUCGUGAACUAUUAGUUAUGGUUGACAAGAAAAAAGAUCAUUCACCAAUUAAGAGCUUCAGCCAGUCCUCCAAAUAUAUUAACGCCAAUGGUACUAUCAAACUAUUGAAUGGACAUGCCAUGCAUAACAUGAACGAUGUAGACAUGAUCGGUAUCACUUUGGACGAGCAUAUAUUUGGAAGAGACAAAUUUAUUUAUUUAGGCCGCGAUGAUCUGAUCCAAUAUUGCAAUAUGGUUAAAAUAGGCUACAUGUGUAUUUUGACAUACAUUGCAUAAGUAUUACUCAUCUAGAUUCACUCAUGUAUAUUUUGUUUCAUGUUUAUAAAUAAUAACUUUUACUUUGUUUAAGUAUCUUUGGGAUGAAUGUGGUCGUAAUAUUACGAAGAAGUUUUUUAUAAUUGAUCAAGCAAGAAUAUUGCCACACGUGAAAUCUCAAGAUAUCCGAUCCAGAAAUUUAGCCAAUCAACUAGAAUUGGCUAAUUUAGACCAAUUAGUCCUCAUUCCAUAUAACACAGGGUAAGUACAUACAAGUUCUUAAGUUAUUUUUAAUUUGUAUUAUACACGUACUAAUAUUUCAAAAUUGUUGCUUAUU